AACGAACGCUGGCGGCAGGCUUAACACAUGCAAGUCGAGCGCCCCCGCAAGGAGGAGCGGCAGACGGGUGAGUAACGCGUGGGAACGUACCCUUUGCUACGGAAUAGCUCCGGGAAACUGGAAUUAAUACCGUAUGUGCCCUUCGGGGGAAAGAUUUAUCGGCAAAGGAUCGGCCCGCGUCUGAUUAGCUAGUUGGUGAGGUAACGGCUCACCAAGGCGACGAUCAGUAGCUGGUCUGAGAGGAUGAUCAGCCACACUGGGACUGAGACACGGCCCAGACUCCUACGGGAGGCAGCAGUGGGGAAUAUUGGACAAUGGGGGCAACCCUGAUCCAGCCAUGCCGCGUGAGUGAUGAAGGCCUUAGGGUUGUAAAGCUCUUUCGUCAGGGAAGAUAAUGACGGUACCUGAAGAAGAAGCCCCGGCUAACUUCGUGCCAGCCGCCGCCGUAAGAC
rnacentral:rRNA from 1 species